rnacentral:rRNA from 1 species
UAUCUCUGUAGAGUCUGCAUAUCAAUAAGCGGAGGAAAAGAAACUAACUAGGAUUCCCUUAGUAACGGCGAGUGAAGCGGGAAGAGCUCAAAUUUGAAAUCUUCAAGGUUCUACCUUGACGAAUUGUAGUUUAAAGAAGUGUUUUCUGUUGGAGUUUUGGUAAAAGUUCUUUGGAAUAGGACAUCAUAGAGGGUGAGAAUCCCGUAUUUGACCAUUAUUUCCAGCUUUGUGAUACACUUUCAAAGAGUCGGAUUGUUUGGGAAUGCAGUCCAAAAUGGGUGGUAAAUUUCAUCUAAAGCUAAAUAUUGGCGAGAGACCGAUAGCGAACAAGUACCGUGAGGGAAAGAUGAAAAGAACUUUGAAAAGAGAGUUAAACAGUACGUGAAAUUGUCAAAAGGGAAGCGUUUGACACCAGUGUUGUUUUUCCAAAAAUCAAUUACGAAUGGCUUGAUUCUGUGUUGUAUUGACCUUAUCAGCUUUCUUCGCUUUUUUCGAGUCUUUCUUAAUGCACUUUUCGGUUAACAAGUCAACAUCAAUUUCUUUUGUUGUAAAAGGGUCAUUGGAAGGUGGCUUUCUUUUCGGAGAAAGUGUUUAUAGCCUUUGGCCUCUGCAAUCGGAGAGAUUGAGGUCUGCAGCGUAGAUCCUUCGGGGUUAGAUACAUUUGUGCUAAGUUAUAGCCUUUCAUAGACAACUUGUUGACUAUGAUCAGUCAUGUAGCUUACUCGCUUAUGCUAUUUUACCUACGCUUAGGAUGUUGAAGAUGUAGCACAUCAU